rnacentral:rRNA from 1 species
GACGAACGCUGGCGGCGUGCUUAACACAUGCAAGUCGAACGGAAAGGCGCUGCGUUUGUGGGUUGCUCGAUUGGCGAACGGGUGAGUAACACGUGAGUAACCUGCCCUUGACUGAGGGAGAACUUCAGGAAAAUGGGUAGAAUACCGGAGAGGAGCUCCUGCAGCACGGGGGGGGUAGGAAAGUGUCGGCGGUUGGGGAUGGACUCGCGGCUUAUCAGCUUGUUGGUGAGGUAGGGGCGGACCACGGCUUUGACGGGUAGCCCGCCUGAGAGGGUGACCGGCCACAUUGCUCCUGCGAUACGGCCCAGACUCCUACGGGCGGCAGUAGUGGGGAAUCUUGCGCAAUGGGCGGACGUGUGUUGCAGCAACGCCGCGUGCGGGAUGAUGUCUUUCGGGUUGUAAACCGCUUUCGCAUGUGACGAAGCGUGAGUGACGGUAAUGGGUAAAGAAGCACCGGCUAACUACGUG